UGGACGCCAGUCUGCAUGGAGCCGACCUUGAAAUACCACCCUUUAAUGUUUGAUGUUCUAACGUUGACCCGUGAUCCGGGUUGCGGACAGUGUCUGGUGGGUAGUUUGACUGGGGCGGUCUCCUCCUAAAGAGUAACGGAGGAGCACGAAGGUUGGCUAAUCCUGGUCGGACAUCAGGAGGUUAGUGCAAUGGCAUAAGCCAGCUUGACUGCGAGCGUGACGGCGCGAGCAGGUGCGAAAGCAGGUCAUAGUGAUCCGGUGGUUCUGAAUGGAAGGGCCAUCGCUCAACGGAUAAAAGGUACUCCGGGGAUAACAGGCUGAUACCGCCCAAGAGUUCAUAUCGACGGCGGUGUUUGGCACCUCGAUGUCGGCUCAUCACAUCCUGGGGCUGAAGUAGGUCCCAAGGGUAUGGCUGUUCGCCAUUUAAAGUGGUACGCGAGCUGGGUUUAGAACGUCGUGAGACAGUUCGGUCCCUAUCUGCCGUGGGCGCUGGAGAACUGAGGGGGGCUGCUCCUAGUACGAGAGGACCGGAGUGGACGCAUCACUGGUGUUCGGGUUGUCAUGCCAAUGGCACUGCCCGGUAGCUAAAUGCGGAAGAGAUAAGUGCUGAAAGCAUCUAAGCACGAAACUUGCC
rnacentral:rRNA from 1 species